GUGAGACCUAAGUGACUCCAUUCUAAAAUUUGGUGGCAUAAAUUUCAGUUCUAAGAAAAACCACAAGAUGUAUUUUGACCACCUGCAUGUGAUAGUGUUCAGCCAUCCCCUAGCAACAGCUUGGGUGCGCAAGGCACAAUCAAUCAGGUUUAAUUGCCAAUCUAGAACCUUGUUGUAACCACUAUAAAAACCCCUGCUGAUUUGGAGUUGGG
rnacentral:lncRNA from 1 species